rnacentral:rRNA from 1 species
GACGAACGCUGGCGGCGUGCUUAACACAUGCAAGUCGAACGGAAAGGCCUCUUUCGGGGGGUACUCGAGUGGCGAACGGGUGAGUAACACGUGAGUAACCUGCCCUUGACUUUGGGAUAACUUCAGGAAACUGGGGCUAAUACCGGAUAGGAGCUCCUGCUGCAUGGUGGGGGUUGGAAAGUUUCGGCGGUUGGGGAUGGACUCGCGGCGUAUCAGCUUGUUGGUGGGGUAGUGGCUUACCAAGGCUUUGACGGGUAGCCGGCCUGAGAGGGUGACCGGCCACAUUGGGACUGAGAUACGGCCCAGACUCCUACGGGAGGCAGCAGUGGGGAAUAUUGCACAAUGGGUGGAGGCCUGAUGCAGCAACGCCGUGUGCGGGAUGACGGCCUUCGGGUUGUAAACCGCUUUCGCUCAUGACGAAGCUUUGUGUGACGGUAGUGGGUAAAGAAGCACCGGCUAACUACGUG